rnacentral:rRNA from 1 species
GAUGAACGCUGGCGGCGUGCCUAACACAUGCAAGUCGAACGUGAACAGGGGCAACCCUUAGUAAAGUGGCGUACGGGUGAGUAACGCGUAGGUAAUCUACCCUAGAGUCUGGAAUAACCGGCCGAAAGGCUGGCUAAUACUGGAUAGAGCGACGGAAUCCGUAAUUGGGUUUUUCGGAAGGGAGCCAGCAAUGGCCCUCGCUUUAGGAUGAGCCUGCGUCUCAUUAGCUAGUUGGUAAGGUAACGGCUUACCAAGGCUUUGAUGGGUAGCUGGUCUGAGAGGAUGAUCAGCCACACUGGAACUGAAACACGGUCCAGACUCCUACGGGAGGCAGCAGUGGGGAAUCUUGCGCAAUGGACGAAAGUCUGACGCAGCCACGCCGCGUGAGUGAAGAAGGCCU